rnacentral:rRNA from 1 species
UUNGGGGUGGCAGGCGAUACGGGCAUAACUAGAGUGCUGUAGGGGAGACUGGGAUUCCUGGUGUAGCGGUGGAAUGCGCAGAUAUCAGGAGGAACACCGAUGGCGAAGGCAGGUCUCUGGGCAGUAACUGACGCUGAGGAGCGAAAGCAUGGGGAGCGAACAGGAUUAGCUACCCUGGUAGUCCAUGCUGUAAACGGUGGGCGUUAGGUGUGGGGACCGGUUUGGUUUCUGUGCCGUAGCUAACGCAUUAAGCGCCCCGCCUGGGGAGUACGGCCGCAAGGCUAAAACUCAAAGGAAUUGACGGGGGCCCGCACAAGCGGCGGAGCAUGUGGAUUAAUUCGAUGCAACGCGAAGAACCUUACCUGGGUUUGACAUGCACCAGACGGUUGUAGAGAUACGUACCUCCCUUUGUGGUUGGUGUGCAGGUGGUGCAUGGUUGUCGUCAGCUCGUGUCGUGAGAUGUUGGGUUAAGUCCCGCAACGAGCGCAACCCUUGUCUUAUGUUGCCAGCACGUUUAGGGUGGGGACUCAUGAGAGACUGCCGGGGUUAACUCGGAGGAAGGUGGGGAUGACGUCAAAUCAUCAUGCCCUUUAUGCCCAGGGCUUCACACAUGCUACAAUGGUUAGUACAACGCGCUGCGAGCCUGUGAGGGUGAGCGAAUCGCUGAAAGCUAAUCUCAGUUCGGAUUGGGGUCUGCAACUCGACCCCAUGAAGUCG